GAGUUUGAUCCUGGCUCAGAACGAACGCUGGCGGCAGGCCUAACACAUGCAAGUCGAGCGCACUCUUCGGAGUGAGCGGCGGACGGGUUAGUAACGCGUGGGAACAUACCCUUCUCUACGGAAUAGCCUCGGGAAACUGAGAGUAAUACCGUAUACGCCCUUCGGGGGAAAGAUUUAUCGGAGAUGGAUUGGCCCGCGUUAGAUUAGAUAGUUGGUGGGGUAAUGGCCUACCAAGUCUACGAUCUAUAGCUGGUUUGAGAGGAUGAUCAGCAACACUGGGACUGAGACACGGCCCAGACUCCUACGGGAGGCGGCAGUGGGGAAUCUUAGACAAUGGGCGCAAGCCUGAUCUAGCCAUGCCGCGUGAGUGACGAAGGCCUUAGGGUCGUAAAGCUCUUUCGCCAGAGAUGAUAAUGACAGUAUCUGGUAAAGAAACCCCGGCUAACUCCGUGCCAGCAGCCGCGGUAAUA
rnacentral:rRNA from 1 species